rnacentral:pre_miRNA from 1 species
CAGCUCUGGGGCCACUGAAGGCAGGACUUGGUGACAAUCUCCACCAUGGCCUGGUCCCCUCUCCUCCUCACCCUCAUCGCUCUCUGCACAGGUGA